rnacentral:rRNA from 1 species
AGAGUUUGAUCCUGGCUCAGAACGAACGCUGGCGGCAGGCCUAACACAUGCAAGUCGAACGCUCCGCAAGGGGCGUGGCGCACGGGUGAGUAACACGUGGGAACAUGCCCCAAGGUACGGAACAACCACGGGAAACUGUGGCUAAUACCGUAUGCUCCCGAGAGGGGAAAGAUUUAUCGCCUUGGGAUUGGCCCGCGUCCGAUUAGGUAGUUGGUGAGGUAACGGCUCACCAAGCCGACGAUCGGUAGCUGGUCUGAGAGGACGACCAGCCACACUGGGACUGAGACACGGCCCAGACUCCUACGGGAGGCAGCAGUGGGGAAUAUUGGACAAUGGGGGCAACCCUGAUCCAGCCAUGCCGCGUGGGCGAUGAAGGCCUUCGGGUUGUAAAGCCCUUUCGCGCACGACGAUGAUGACGGUAGUGCGAGAAGAAGCCCCGGCUAACUUCGUGCCAGCAGCCGCGGUAAUUC